CAGUGUGCAGGCCCGUGGGAGGUUCUCCAGGGAACCUUGGCUGUCUCAGUGCGUCGGUGCAGAAGGAGGUGGCGCCUGGGUGCAGAAGGAGAUGGCGCGUCGGUGCAGAAGGAGGUGGCGUGUCGGUGCAGAAGGAGAGGGGUUUCCGCAUCGGUUUGACGAUCCCAGGCUCCCCCUAAGUUAUGCCUGCACAACUGGAGUAUGUUAUGUGAAAGGAAAAUAAAUCUUGGGAUUCCAGAAUCACUCAGCCAAAGGGAAAAGUCAACCUGGGAACUGCAGCUCGGCAAACAUGCCUCCCAUUCUAUUCCUAAAUAAGAGAGCUAUGAAGAAAGCUACACACCUCCGUCAGUACCUCCCCGCAAGGAAAUUCCUUGUGGACCGGUACAGACAGAACCGAAAGUCCUCCCUCUGCUCACGUGAGACAAAUGCGUAACUGGUGGUUUCCUCUGCCCUCUUGUUUCACUAAGCCAGACUAAGGUAUAAGUGAUGAUUCCUGUAAAUUGUGUAUUCAGUGAAAGGCUCAUCAGAAACUCAGAAGAAUGCAACCAUUUGUCUCGUAUCUACUGAUGACCUGGAAGCCCUCUCUGAGCUUAGAGCUGUCCAGCCUUUCCAGACCAAACCAAUGUACACCUUACAUGUACUGACUGAUGUCUCAUGCCUCCCUAAAAUAUAUAAAACCAAGCUGUGCCCCGACCACCUCGGGAACAUGUCAUCAGGGCCUCCUGAGGUUGUAUCACUGGUGCGUCCUUAACCUUGGCAAAAUAAACUUUCUAAACCAAUUAAAACC
rnacentral:lncRNA from 1 species